CAUUCCCACAGAACCGACAUCUGCAUCAGCUGACAGUAAUUACGCAGCAGAUAUCAAUGCUGAGCAAAUCCUAGAUGGCUCAGAGCCUGUCACUUGUGACUUGCCAUCAUGCGACCUGAGACGUUCCAGUAGAGACAGACACCCACCUCAGAGACUCACAUAUAAUCAGUUGGGUGAACCCUUGAUCCAAGCAAUUAGUUUUUUUCUCCGAGGUUUUGUUGCUGCAUUGUGCCGUGAAGUCCCUUUAUCCAUAGCAACGCAUGAAGGGACCCAUGCCAUCUAGAGGGGGAGAAUGUAACCCAGGUUAUCUUCCAGGGUUAUUGAGCCUAAAUUCCUUUUAAAAAAUUCUCCAUUGUUAGGAACCGUUUUUCGGUAGUAUAAAAAAUUACGAGGGUUACUUGAACGUAGCAUGGAGCCGAGCUGCGCAGCCCUCCCCACACCGGAGAAAAAAAACGUUUUUGUCCGUUAGGCUGAACAGGUGAGCAGAAGUUCAGCUAACUGCCGUCAGCGAAGUAAUAGGUGACUGGAAGCUUCUAGAAAGAGUGUGUUCGCUACUGAAGGAGGAGCCGUUAGAAGUAGACCUCGAUUUGUUUUUUGAAGAAACCCUUUGGCUUGUUGAUUGAGGUUUAAAUCACCUUUUCCUGCCUGGAAAGCCAACACAUUUAAAGACUCAGAUGCACUGCUUUGGUCCACUGGAGAGGUAUUAAUACUCAUGGGUGCCACAUCCAUGGCAGGAUGUCUUCAUCAUAUCCUGUCUCAUCAAAGAUGUGGUAGGAUCAUUUAAGACCUCUACACGAUUCAAAGGACUAAGGUUUUUUUCCCUUCCUGAGUGAGGGUUUGGACACUUUUUUUGGCAACUUUCCAACAUUUUAGUGGACUGAAUUACCAAUUUGCCCAAAAGCAAGAAGACUGUGUGACAUAGUCCUGAACACUUUGUUAAAGGACAAUUGGUUUUAUUUAUUUAUUUAUUUAUAUCUAUUUAUUGAUUGUUCAAUUUUUAUCAUUCCUCUAAGAGCCCUCUAGGAGAGGGAAUUUAUUAUUUAUUUCCUUUAUGAUGAAUAUUACAAACUGUUACAUACUUCAAUAUAUUUAGUUUAUUGAAUUGAUUGUUGUGUGUGUGGUUUGUGGGUUGGAGGUUUCAAACUUCAGGUAAUGAGCUACUACUGCUAAGAACCCAGAAAUAGAGUUCAAAGGAACAAAAAGCAAGAAACCUUAGUAAAUAAGACACAUUUGAUCCUGUAGCUCCCACAACACUUUAACCUUGAAGGAGUAUUCCACGCUGAUAUAUUUGAAUACACAUACUCAGUUUUCAGGGAGCCACAGGUUACAUUUACUUUUAUAACACAUUUAUUGUCAGUCAUGGAAAAAGAGCAUUCACCCAUCUUUAGUUUUCAUCCAUUCAUCCAUUUUCAUCCGCUUAUCCGGAGUCGGGUAGCGGGGGCAGUAGCCUAAGUCAAGAGGCACAGACUUCCCUCUCCCCAGCCGCUUGGGCCAGCUCUUCUGGGGGAAUCCCAAGGCAUUCCCUGGCCAGGUGGGAGACAUAGUCCCUCCAGGGUGUCCUGGGUCUACCUUUAGGCCUCCUCUCAAUUGGACGUGCCCGGUAACCUCACCAGGGAGGCGUCCAGGAGGCAUCCUGACCAGAUGCCCGAGCUACCUCAACUGGCUCCUCUUGGUGUAGAGGAGCAGCAUAUCUACUCCGAGCCUCUCCUGUAUGACUGAGCUUCUCACCCUAUCUCUAAGGGCGAGCCCAGCCACUCUGCGGAGAAAACUCAUUUUGGCUUCUUGUAUCCGCAAUCUCGUUCUUUCGGUCACUACCUAAAGCUCGUGACCAUAGUGGGAACCGUAGAAACGUAGAUCGGCCGGUAAAUCGAGAGCUUCGCCUUCUGACUCAACUCUCUCUUCACCACGAGUGUCAUGAUCCUGCCAGGUCCUGACCUCCAUGCCCCAUCAUUCACCUCAUCAGCCUUCAUGCAUCACACCUGGUCCCCUCAUCAAGCUCAUGCCAAGCCCUGUUUCCCCAGCAACCACAGUUAACUCACCAUCAAGCUCAUGCCACAAACCUGCCUCACCAGCUAUAUAUUUCACAGUCAGCCACCAGCACUCUGCCAGAUUAUUGAACGUUUCUGCUAGUAAAUCUUCCAGGCAUCUUGAUCAUAGUCUCUCAACCUCGUCUCCACGCCUGGCCAUCGCCAAGAACUCUGCCUGCCACCACGACCCUCGCCCAGGGGCGCAGAUAGGAUUUUCAAACUGGGGGGACAAAGUUCACACACACACACACACACACACACACACACACACACACACACACACACACACACACACACACACACACACACACACAAACUAUUGCAAGCGCCUUAACUAGAGCUCAGUCAGGUUGUGUAAUUUCCUCCAACGGUUUACGUGAAAACUACUUAUUAUAUACGUGUUUGAAGCCAUUAUGCAGUGGAACGCUGGCAACAAAGUUCUGCCUGAUCAACGCUAUAAAUGAUAAAUGAUCCGCACUUGUAUAGCGCUUCUCAGAGUAAGGACUCCAAAGCGCUUUACACUACAGUGUAUCAUUCAUCCAUUCACACACUGAUGGUGAUGAGCUACGAUGUAGCCACAGCUGCCCUGGGGCGCACUGACAGACGCGCCCCACUAUUUAAUUCAGUCAUUUGUUAUUCUUCCAGUCAAUUACUAACCAAAACCUCAUGCUUUAUGCAAAACAUUAAAUGAUUUUCAGCAUACCAAUCUUUACAGAAAACAUAAAAGCCCUAAAAAACUGCACAUAAAAUAUAUUUAAAAACGAAAUUCACUUGUCACUUAGAGCAGUAGUUCCCUAACUUUUCAGCCUUACCAACAGAUGUUCCUUCGUAUUCUUACAUUAUUUAGAAAUUUUCAUUAUAUUUGGAAAGUUUAAUUUAUAUAUAAAUAUAUAAAUCUCUUUUAAAAUUUUAUAUUAUACUAUUUUUAUGAUUAUGUGGCACACUUGACUUCCAUAUAUGAUGCAUCAGGAUCUGCCUCUUUUUUUACGGCUUUUUUUUUACAUUGUUGCUACGUCUGUCCCUUUUGCAGUGUUUUUACCAUCAUUUCUACAUCCAUCACGUCCCAGAGAAGGUUAAACCAACAUCAAACCCAACGUUUGGAGCUUGUAAACUCCACACACCUCUCGUGCAGCACCUGCUGUCUGAUGCUGCAGCAGCGUCAAUCUUCCCAGCUGGAUGAGUGAAUUUCUUCAUCAAAGUCAAUAUUCUGCUUCAUAAUCAGAGUCAGUCAUUACCAGACAAAGUGAUCAGUCAACAAAGACCAGACCUGCCGGCAAUUAUUUAUUUUUUCUAAUAUUUGCGCUCUUCAUGCUGCACGCAUCUCCUCCUCUCCCCGACUGGGCGCCUCUCGGCGGGAGGUGUUUUUCAAACUCAAAUCUCCCAAACUUUGCUCAGCCUGAAGGUUCCACAUCUCCACUAUCUUCUGGUGUAAAGUAGUAACUUCAUGAGGGAUCAUAUUUGUAGAUGAGACUUGUUAAAGUCAGCAAUGAGGCUUUGGUGCUUAUAACGAGUAAGUCCCAACACCGACAACAAUGUACUGAAACUAGAACCAACAUGCAUAAACAGACAGAUCGGUCCCGCCUACUUACAUUGUUGGUCUUUUUAAAUACGCAGUAAUCGUUGCUUGUAUUUUUCACUUCAUCCUGCAUCCUAGCAGCAACCACUUUGGCGCCUCUGGAGUCUGUGUUUGUUUAUGUCAUGCUGCAUUCACUGUAAUUGGAAAAAAGAAGCUUCAAGCGCUUAACCUCCGAUUUUGUUUUCUUUCUGGCCUUAGUUGGGGGGGACGGAUCGGGGUCAAUCUGAAUCUGG